rnacentral:rRNA from 1 species
CCUACGGGCGGCUGCAGUGAGGAAUAUUGGUCAAUGGUCGGGAGACUGAACCAGCCAAGCCGCGUGAGGGAUGAAGGUACAGAGUAUUGUAAACCUCUUUUGUCAGGGAACAAAGGCGGGUACGCGUCCCCGGAUGAGUGUACCUGAAGAAAAAGCAUCGGCUAACUCCGUGCCAGCAGCCGCGGUAAUACGGAAGGUGCGAGCGUUAUCCGGAUUUAUUGGGUUUAAAGGGUGCGGAGGGCGUCUGUUAAGUCAGCGGUUAAAACCCCGGGCUCAACCCCCGGCCUGCCUUUGAACCUGGCAGUCUCGAGUUGGAGAGAGGUAUGCGGAAUGCGCGGUGUAGCGGUGAAAUGCAUAGAUAUCGCGCAGAACUCCGAUUGCGAAGGCAGCAUGCCGGCUCCACACUGACGCUGAGGCACGAAAGCGUGGGUAUCGAACAGGAUUAGAUACCCGUGUAGUC